rnacentral:rRNA from 1 species
GGCUUAGAGUUUGAUCAUGGCUCAGGAUGAACGCUAGCUACAGGCUUAACACAUGCAAGUCGAGGGGCAGCAUGAACUUAGCUUGCUAAGUUUGAUGGCGACCGGCGCACGGGUGAGUAACACGAAUCCAACCUUCCGUUUACUCAGGGAUAGCCUUUCGAAAGAAAGAUUAAUACCUGAUAGUAUGGUGAGAUUGCAUGAUAGCACCAUUAAAGAUUUAUUGGUAAACGAUGGGGAUGCGUUCCAUUAGGUAGUAGGCGGGGUAACGGCCCACCUAGCCGACGAUGGAUAGGGGUUCUGAGAGGAAGGUCCCCCACAUUGGAACUGAGACACGGUCCAAACUCCUACGGGAGGCAGCAGUGAGGAAUAUUGGUCAAUGGGCGAGAGCCUGAACCAGCCAAGUAGCGUGAAGGAUGAAGGUCCUACGGAUUGUAAACUUCUUUUAUACGGGAAUAAAGUAUCCUACGUGUAGGAUUUUGUAUGUACCGUAUGAAUAAGCAUCGGCUAACUCCGUGCCAGCAGCCGCGGUAAUACGGAGGAUGCGAGCGUUAUCCGGAUUUAUUGGGUUUAAAGGGAGCGCAGACGGGAGAUUAAGUCAGUUGUGAAAGUUUGCGGCUCAACCGUAAAAUUGCAGUUGAUACUGGUUUCCUUGAGUGCAGUUGAGGCANGCG